rnacentral:rRNA from 1 species
GUGGGGAAUCUUCCGCAAUGGACGAAAGUCUGACGGAGCAACGCCGCGUGAGUGAAGAAGGUUUUCGGAUCGUAAAGCUCUUUCGUUAGGGACGAACGUGCUCUUUGUGAAUAAUGAGGAGUAAUGACGGUACCUAAAUAAGAAGCCACGGCUAACUACGUGCCAGCAGCCGCGGUAAUACGUAGGUGGCAAGCGUUGUCCGGAAUUAUUGGGCGUAAAGCGCGCGCAGGCGGGAUAUCAAGUCUGUCUUAAAAGUGCGAGGCUCAACCUCGUGAGGGGACAGAAACUGGUAUUCUUGAGUGUCGGAGAGGAAAGUGGAAUUCCAAGUGUAGCGGUGAAAUGCGUAGAGAUUUGGAAGAACACCAGUGGCGAAGGCGACUUUCUGGACGAUGUCUGACGCUGAGAUGCGAAAGCCAGGGUAGCGAACGGGAUUAGAAACCCCAGUAGUCC